GAUGUGACCAACCGUCCACUCACUGAGUUCAUGGCUCCCUGUAUUGACUCCCUCCCACCGCUGGCUUUCACCAAUCGGAGGCCUAUACCAACCAUGUUACGUCCCCCCUCUCAAUUGGCCAUACGCGCUCAGGAUGCACAGCGGUUCAUUGUAUUUUCAUACUUUGUCCCUGCUGAGUGCCCAGUUGCCACAGAGGCCACAGCAGAUGUAUCUACUGGUAAAAGAGAGGACUUAUUGACAGAUACACAUCUUUCCUCAAUGCUGCAUCGAUACCUGCCACACUUCUUUAACGAUGACUCCAUUCCACCACAGCAGACAGUAGAGGGAACCACUGAGCUCUCAGUUGCUCCAGUGGCAAUAUCUAAUAUAAAGGAAGAGGACAGAUUCUAUCCUUUCUCCCUCCCACCACUGGCUCAGCGGUUCGUUGGCAAUUCAUUAAUUGUCCCAGGAACCUCCCAGCCUGCUGUUUCAGCCACAGAGUGCCGAGUUGCCAAAGAGGCCACUGCAGACACAGCCACUGUCAAGAGAGAGAACCGAUGGGCAGCCAGAAGUCUUCCUUCAGUGCUGCCUCCAUGCCUGCCACCAGUCUUUGACGAUGACUUCAAGCCUACAGAGCAGACAGUAGAGGAUGCCUAUGAGGUCUCAGGUGCUACAGAGAACACUUCAGGCACAGCUACUGUUGAUGGAGUGGACAGAUCAACAGCUAAAUGCCCUGUCCCAAUGCUGCCUCCAAGUCUGCCACCUGUCUUUGACAAUGACUACAAACUGCCAGAGGAGGCAGUAGAGGGAACCAACAAGUGUCCAGUCGCCAGUGAAUCUGUCGCUUCCGUGUCCGCUGUCCUCCAAGAGGAGUUUUCAGCUGAUAAGAGUCUUCCUGCACCCGCAGCACUGCCUCUAUGGCUGCCCUGCACCCACAGCAUUGACCACAAACAGCUAUGGGAGAAAGUUGAGGACAACACAGAGUUCUCAGUAGACAAAGAAGCAACUGUUGCCAUUUACACUUGGGAAGAUAAAAGUCCUUCAGUUCUGCCAUGCAUCCACAACAACAACGACCACCAACUGCCAGAGGAGACAGUUGAGGACAACACAGAGUGCUCAGUUGACACCGAGGCAAGUGCAGUUGCAUCCACUGUUAAGAGAGAGGAAUUGACUUGUGAUAAAAGCCCUGUCCGAGCAAUUCCUCCAAUCCUGGGAUGCAUCCAUGACAAGGACCACAAGGAGGAGGUGAGACAGAGGGAGGGAUUGAAGCGUGAGGCGGACUGUGCCCAUUCCAAGAGCUCCAAUGGGAUGCCGUCAUCAGAGAGAGCAGAGACCAUCCUUGGAAGA
ensembl:lncRNA